rnacentral:rRNA from 1 species
AACGAACGCUGGCGGCAGGCUUAACACAUGCAAGUCGAGCGCCCCGCCAGGGGAGCGGCCGCCGGGUGCGUAACGCGUGGGAACGUACCUUUUGGUUCGGAACAACUCCGGGAAACUGGAGCUAAUACCGGAUAAGCCCUAACGUGGAAAGAUUUAUCGCCGAAAGAUCGGCCCGCGUCUGAUUAGCUAGUUGGUGAGGUAACGGCUCACCAAGGCGACGAUCAGUAGCUGGUCUGAGAGGAUGAUCAGCCACACUGGGACUGAGACACGGCCCAGACUCCUACGGGAGGCAGCAGUGGGGAAUAUUGGACAAUGGGCGCAAGCCUGAUCCAGCCAUGCCGCGUGAGUGAUGAAGGCCUUAGGGUUGUAAAGCUCUUUUGUCCGGGAAGAUAAUGACUGUACCGGAAGAAUAAGCCCCGGCUAACUUCGUG